GAUGAACGCUGGCGGCGUGCCUAGUACAUGCAAGUCGAGCGAACGGACGAGAAGCUUGCUUCUCUGAUGUUAGCGGCGGACGGGUGAGUAACACGUGGAUAACCUACCUAUAAGACUGGGAUAACUUCGGGAAACCGGAGCUAAUACCGGAUAAUAUUUUGAACCGCAUGGUUCAAAAGUGAAAGACGGUCUUGCUGUCACUUAUAGAUGGAUCCGCGCUGCAUUAGCUAGUUGGUAAGGUAACGGCUUACCAAGGCAACGAUGCAUAGCCGACCUGAGAGGGUGAUCGGCCACACUGGAACUGAGACACGGUCCAGACUCCUACGGGAGGCAGCAGUAGGGAAUCUUCCGCAAUGGGCGAAAGCCUGACGGAGCAACGCCGCGUGAGUGAUGAAGGUCUUCGGAUCGUAAAACUCUGUUAUUAGGGAAGAACAUAUGUGUAAGUAACUGUGCACAUCUUGACGGUACCUAAUCAGAAAGCCACGGCUAACUACGU
rnacentral:rRNA from 1 species